CUGCUCUCAGGCCCCGCCUCCCCGGGGCCGGCUCGGGCCACUUCUUGCGCGCUGCCAGAAGGAGCUAUUUUGAGCAGUCCUUCUGACCCUCGUGGCUUCUCCUGCUCCAAGGCCAAGCUCGGGACCCUGUCAUCAUCCCCGGGGACAGGCCCCAUCUUAGAGAGGAUCCACCCAGCUCCCCGCUCCUGAGCCAUCUUCCAGCUAUCCCGCCUCGAGACUCCCACCGCACCUGCUCCUGGGCUGCAGCUGCACCCAACAAGUCAACAUGUGGAUUGCUUCUAGAAUUUGGAUAUUAUGAACACUGCUGUGCUGAACAUUCUUGUACACUUAUAUGGUUUGGCUGUGUCCCCACCCAAAUCUCAUCUUGAAUUGUAGCUCCCAUAAUUCCUAUGUGUCGUGGGAGGGACCCAAUGGGAGGUAAUUGAAUCAUAGGGGCAGGUCUUUCCCCUGCUGUCCUUAUGAUAGUGAAUAAGUCUCAUGAGAUCUGAUGGUUUUAUACAUGGGAGUUCCCCUGCACAAGCCCUCUUGUCUGCCGCCAUGUAAGAUGUGCCUUUGCUUCUCCUCUGCCUUCCACCAUGAUUGUGAGGACUCCCCAACCAUGUGGAACUGUGAGUCCAUUAAACCUCUUUCCUUUGUAAAUUA
ensembl:lncRNA novel transcript